CUCAGGAUGAACGCUGGCGGCGUGCUUAACACAUGCAAGUCGAACGAGGCACCUUGCGGAAGUUUCGGAUGGAAGCGGAGGCGACCGAGUGGCGGACGGGUGAGUAACGCGUGGGGAACCUGCCCCAUUCCGGGGGAUACCAGUUGGAAACGACUGUUAAUACCGCAUAAGCGCACGGAAGGACAUCCUUUUGUGUGAAAAAACUGAGGUGGAAUGGGAUCGGCCCCGCGUCUGAUUAGCCAGUUGGCAGGGUAACGGCCUACCAAAGCGACGAUCAGUAGCCGGCCUGAGAGGGCGACCGGCCACAUUGGGACUGAGACACGGACCCAAACUCCUACGGGAGGCAGCAGGUGGGGAAUAUUGCACAAUGGGGGAAACCCUGAUGCAGCGAACCGCCGCGUGAGUGAAGAAGUAUUUCGGUAUGUAAAGCUCUAUCAGCAGGGAAGAAGAUGACGGUACCUGCACAAGAAGCCCCGGCUAACUACGUGCCAGCCGCAGC
rnacentral:rRNA from 1 species